rnacentral:tRNA from 9 species
GGGUGCAUAGCUCAGCUGGUAGAGCAUCUCGUUUACACCGAGACGGUCGGGAGUUCGAAUCUCUCUGCACCCACCA